AUGACUCCCUUGAGAGUCCUGUUCCCCUUUUAUCAAUGCACAGGCCCAGAAGACCCCUCCAUCCUGUAGCACCUGCCAUGAGCAUUGAGCUCCUGUGUUGUGUGGCCUUUUCUCUCCUGUGGGCAGGUCUAGUGAAUGCUGGUGUCACUCAGACCCCAAAAUUCCAAGUCCUGAAGACAGGACAGAGCGUGACACUGCAGUGUGCCCAGGAUAUGAACUAUAACUUCAUGUACUGGUAUCGACAAGACCCAGGCAUGGGGCUGAGGCCGAUUCAUUACUCAGGUGCUGCUGGUACUACUGAUAAAGGAGAAGUCCCCAGUGGCUACAAUGUCUCCAGAUUAAACACAGAGGAUUUCCCACCCAGACUGGAGUCGGUUGCUCCUUCCCAGACAUCUGUGUACUUCUGUGCCUCUGCAGGCAGUCUCAGCCAGGCCUGGACUGGUCCCAGGUUCUCAGAUGUCUCCUUUGUUACUCUCUCUGGUCUGUCCUCCAAGCUCUACUUUUGA